rnacentral:rRNA from 1 species
AGUAAAUAGAUACCCGGGUACGUCCCAGCUGUAAACGAUGCGCGUUAGGUGUAUCGGUGACCACGAGUCACCGAGGUGCCGAAAGAGAAAUCGUGAAACGUGCCGCCUGGGAAGUACGGUCGCAAGGCUGAAAACUUAAAGGAAUUGGCGGGGGAGCACCACAACAGGUGGAGCCUGCGGUUUAAUCGGACUCAACGCCGGGAAGCUCACCGGAUAAGACAGCUGAAUGAUAGCCGGGUUGAAGACUCUGCUUGACUAGCUGAGAGGAGGUGCAUGGCCGUCGUCAGUUCGUACUGUGAAGCAUCCUGUUAAGUCAGGCAACGAGCGAGACCCACGCCAACAGUUGCCAGCAUGUCCUCCGGGAUGGUGGGGACACUGUUGGGACCGCCUCUGCUAAAGAGGAGGAAGGAAUGGGC